GAGUUUUUCCUUUUUUUUCCUGACUGCAACCAGCAGAGGGCGCUCACUGAAGGGGCCUCAACUCAACCAACCCUCUGCUGGUAUUUUGGGGAAAAAAACAGUCGGAGUGGGACCUCUGCAUUCGUUUCCUGUCUCUGGUCGUGCCUACACCCCCACCCCCCAAAGACACAGACACACAUCAGACCGUCAGACCGGAGCCGGAGAGGGAGGAGAAGAAAACCCGUCUCGCCUCGCUGUGGUGGCUUUUGCGCACAUGUCUGUGGUUUAAAUCUGGAGGAUUUGACACCGUGACAACUUUUAUUUUGCAUCUCCCUGCAGCGAGAGAGCAGAGACAAUAGAGGAGGAAAAAUCGUGAGCGAGGAGCCGAUGUGGGAUUUUUACAUUUUACGCAAUCAGAGCAUCGACACAGGCUGAAUGGAGAUCGAGGCUGAGACACUGGAGUGAGGAGAUCUUUCAAGAGGACGACAGAAGGCGAACAGCUGCUGAGUAAAAGAGGCCAGGCGCUGGCUGAGGUAGUAGUUUGUGCUGUUGGUCGGGUUGUCACGUUGCUCCCGUUAUGGAGAUGACUGCGCAAUCUACUGCCUUGCCGGCGCUGGCGACUUGCGACAGAGGAAUGGAACUGGAUCAGGAUGAAGGGAAUGCAGAGGAGCAGGCAUCCACAAUUAUCAAGUGUUGUGAGCUUGGACAGACAUUUUCAUCUGAAACACAUGCAAAGCUAAAAUAUCCCAUGCUUUCCCCCCCAUUUUCAAUAAAGCUUAUUUUAAUGACAUCA